CCAUGUCCAUCAAGCACAGUGGAGAAAAACACGUGCUGUCUUGAAACACUGCGUUGUUGCCUUAAACUUUCAUCUCUUCCUUCUUGGCUUUCUCUUCUGCAUUCCACUUCAGCAUGUUUGGGAGGAUUGAGGCAAAUCAUGGCUUGUCAUGUUACUUCGAAUUCAGUGCUUCCCUUUUGUAAGGAGGGCGUUAGGUGAUUCAUCUGUGACAGAACAUCCCAUUAUGUUGUGACAGACUGUCAGAGUGAACCUGCUGACACAGGAAUUGUUUUUGCAGUGGAUUACCUUCACUACGUGCAGCAAACCCCAGAGGUUUGGGCCAGGAACGGCUGCCAUGCAUCAAGAAGCACCAAUUUCCAUGCUUUAUUUCAUGGCUGUCAAAAAGAAGGGGGAAAAUGUUUGUAGGAUUGUCCAGAAGAUUCUCACUCAUCGUUCUACAAGUGAGCCUUGACUCAGACUUUCAGUUUACACCAGCAGUAUUUAAAAUACAGAUGUGUGAAUACUUCAUUCUUUUCAUUUCUCUGGCCAGCCCCAAAAAUUUUGGGCUGAGUUGGAUCAUUUUGAGUCACUGUGUAACAAGACCUAUUUCUUUUUCCCAGCAAAAUGAAAAACUAAGCCAAAAAACUGGAAACAAACCAAUCCAGAAUGCUUAGUUCAAAAAAAUAACACAUUUAUUCUGAUGAUUUUUAGUUUGCAUUUAAUUUAUAAUUAAAUAAGCCUAGUCUUAAGACACUGUGUUGAAACACAAGUAGUAUUUGAAUAAAAAUUGUUUUUUCAUCUCCUCAGAACUGGGGAGGCUUUUAGUUUUAUUUUUAGCACAAACUCUUGCGAGAGUUUGGUAAUCCUUGUAUGUGGCUUAAAUUUUGGAAGGGUUUUACCAGCUUCAUUCACACAACCAAAAGGAUAUCCCCCCAUUUAGACAUUCCAUAUUGCUGUUGGUAUUCUUUUAAUUCUAUUUUACCAACACUCUUGCUUCUCUCAGUCCUCUGGGAUUUAAAUUUCAGUUGUCAGUCACUGACAAACUGAAGAAGAUGCAGCAUUUCUAAUUCUCUACAUUUUUCUAUACUGAGAAUGAACCAAAUGUCUUAGAAAUAAAGACAUGGCUAAAUGCUUUGAGUUCUACAUUCUCCAUCAGGUGGUAGUUUAAUACAACUGGGUUAAACACAACUACAAUAUAGUUGUACUUAACUCUGUAGAAGUCUAUUUAUUGAUCUACCAAUCAAAAAAUUUUCUAAGGAAAAGGAAUUUUUAUGUAUACAAUGAGAAGCAAAACUACAACUGAGCAUUCACAUCAGAAAAAAAAAUCAGAUAUUGAAUAUUUGAGAUUAAGCCAGAACAAAAAAUACCAACAGGAUGACAUUUUUCUAUGCAUCUUUGAGUUUUUAUUGGAAAAUGACAUUCCGUUUAAUGAUAGAAGAAUGACCUGAUAGUUAAGAAAUGCAAAUAAAGCUUUAUUUGCAUACAGCAACACACAUUAAUAAAUACUGACCUGGGGAGGACAGCAGUGGACCAAAAGCAAAGAAAAUUGCCAGUACUGCUGACAAAGAUGUACGAGUGGCAGAAGUCUAAAGAGUAACAGAGCCAAAAGAAACCAGGAGGUAUCAAAGUGGAUCUUGUAGAAGCUUCUCAAAAUUUUCUGCUGCGAUGCAUUUUGGGACUUCUGAUGUCAAGGUUUUCAAUCAAAUCUGCUGUUUAACAACAACAACAAAAAAGAAACAUUGAUAUGCUCUGAAAUAAUCUUGCUGUGAGAUGUUUCCAGGAAAAUCUUUAUUUACAUUACCUGUCACAAUGGCCUACGGAGAUUGCCCGUGUAAUGACAGACAAAUCUGGUGUACUAUAAGUGCUUUAAAAUGUUUGACAGACACUUCCAAGAAGUUGGAAGACUGAAAAUAAUAUGAAUGGUUUCACAAGAGGAAGGCCAUAGAAAGCCUCAAGGUUUUUUUAAUUUAGAAUUCCAGCGAAGCAUAAAGAGUAUAAUUAUUUGUAUUUGCUGCGUUUUAUAAACUGCAUAAUACAGUCAUUCUUUCACUCCUUAAAGUUGUCAUUUUACAGUACAGUUCAGGACCGCAGUGGUAACAUAUUUUCCAAAGGUCAGUUUUCCAAUUAUAAUCCAAAAUUUGAUGUUAAUAUUUUUUCUUAUAGCCAUGUUGUAACCGCAUUCUGUUAAUUUCAUAAAGAUUUCAUUUAGCUGAGGUAGGUGGUAUUCUGGGCAUAUGAACAGUCACCUAACGUCAACAGCAAGCAGUAACUGUAACUACUGACUUCCCAUCAUUUGCAAAAAAAUAUUUUCCCAAAAAUUAUAGCAUGUAGAACUAGACAGCAUCCAAGUCUCUCACUGGGAAAUGACAGGGAUUUUCUUACUGCUUUAUAUAUUCAUGAACACUUUAAAGUCUCAUUAGAUUUUGCAGGCAAUCCUACACACUCGUCAGUUAAUAUCCGAGAUAAACUUAUUUGCCGAGUCCUAAAAACAGAAGUGAGGAGCAAUGAUUUGGUAUUUUUAUCUGUUUCUUUCCCACCUCCCUCAACUCAAACAUCCCUUCAGAGACAGUCAUCAUAGAAAAAUCACAGAAUUAAUUUAGCUCAUGCAAGCAUUAGAAUUGGGAUAAAAUACAGUAUUUUAAUGCUUUACUUAGUGCUGCUUUUCAGGUUCUUGCCAUUUCUUUACAUUGUUUGCAGUAAACUUGUAAUUUACAUACUCUGGCAUAUUUCAACAUAAGCUAAAUGCUCCAAACCACCAAGACGCAACCUCAGUGGCCGCAGAAAAUUCCUUAAUUGGCUUUGGGAUAAGGAGAGAUCCCAAAAGCUUUCUUGUUCCCUUUGGUCUGCAGUGGGUUUUAAAGCAUGAGCUCCAGGGUCCUGCUCUUUCCCCUCCCUGGGCAGGACGGGCACAGCUUCUGGGUGAUGGAGCAGCCAAAGGCAGCUCCCUUGCUGUGCUCCAGACAAGGGGAGAGCUGGGGCUGCACUGAUCAAAUACUCCUGAUGUUCCCCUCUCUGGAAAUGAACAGCAGCUCCUGGUGCAGCUCCUCAAACAGAUUCCAGCUGAAACCCUCACUUUCUUGCAAGCUUUUGGGGAGUUAAUAUCCAAAUAUUUGGAGAAGGAAAUAUUUAAGAGGGAAGGAGGCAGGUGAGAGUUGCCAACUAUCUGACAAAGAAGUGGAAAGCAUCCAUGUGAAUGAGCACUCACCAUGUCAGUUGUGCUGGUCAUCUCAGAAACCUCUAAUUUCUUGACUUAUUUUUCCAGUUUUGAACCAUGCUGAUUUGAGGAAGAAAGAAUGAGGAACUGUGAGGGGUGGAGAAAGCCUUAGAAAUUUUGUCUGUUUGGUCACUUGCUUAUGCACAUUGCAAAGGUACCACAGGAGGCAGCAGGAGGAUUUAUCUUUAUUUGUUCUUCAGGACAGAGUACGUCUCUUGGUACCUCCAUGCUCUGUUCUGAGAGCAGAAUUUUCAAGGGUGAAAUAUUUUGAAUGAAUUCAGUGUUACCUUUCUGCAAUGUACUUUAAAAUUUUUAAUAUAUUUCUAAAUUUCAGGGAAGGGAAUUACUUUCUGGAAUUCAUCUGAUAUCAUCUGAUAUUUCAGAAUAACUAGUGUGGGACAAAAAAAGAAAGCUUUUUCAUCCUGUCCAGUUACUCAGUAUUUAAGUUGGGUGUUGCGAUUUUUAAAGAAAUAUAUUUUAAAUAGAUACACGAGUUAGUAUUUUUGCAAUUACUCUUAUUUUUAAUACAUAGUUACAUCAUUGUUACAUUGUUUCUUGAGACAAUUUUUAGUGAAGAAUUACUACUUUCCUCUUUCCUUGUUAUAUCUUGUAUCAAUUUGGAUCAAUAAUGACUCUGCUUGGAAUAUGUGGGAAAAUAAAACCAAAAACAAAAUAAAAAAUUAAAUUCUGAGCUCAUUAAAAUUAAUGAAAAAGCUCAAGUGAAAACACCAUAGUCAGAAUUUGACCUUUGGAUUAUUUGUCUUCAACAUCUUUAAAAUUCCUCUUCGAAGACGUUCUGAAAAACCCCAACAUUUCAGGCAUCAUUUCCAAACUCCUCAGGAGGAAGCAGAGCCUUCCAGAGAGGUUGAGCUGUUAUGUGUUUCACCUGUGGAAGAGGAUUUAUUUCUCUGCUGAUGGAUGGGGCAGCGAUUCCCGGUGGGAUGGGUGACCCGGGCCCAGUCCUGAGGUGCCUCUGGACAUGGCUCUGACCGUGGAGUAGCCAAACCUCGCUGUGGCUUUGGAUCUGGACAAAUGUGCUCUGCCAGAGACCACCUCAGGAUUUCACUGGUGACUUGAACUGCGUUUGAACCCGAGGAAAGCAGGAAUGCAUUAACACCCUCAGCCCCACUGGAGUCAGUGUCAGGAUCCCUCGGACCCACGAACGUCACACGUCUGUCCCAGCAGCCUGGAGCUCCAGGUCACACCUGUCCUGAACACCUUGGGAAACUCCUCAUCAAUGCCCAAAUAAUGGCACAUUAUCAUCAAUGCCCAAAUAAUGGCACAUCAGUUAAUAUUUGUUUGGCUUCUCAAACUGCUUCACUUCUCAUUUUAAAACCACAGGUAGGCAAAGCCUCUUCUCAAGUAAUAUUAAAUUCUUGCUCUUGAUACGCACUAACAAAGCUUCUUCUAAUGGAGUAACACCUUCUGAAUUGUGUUCAAUAAACAAAUGUUUGGCUCAGCAGGCCAAAUUCCA